UACGAAGGGGGCUAGCGUUGCUCGGAAUCACUGGGCGUAAAGCGCACGUAGGCGGCUUUUUAAGUCAGGGGUGAAAUCCUGGAGCUCAACUCCAGAACUGCCUUUGAUACUGAGAGCUUGGAGUCCGGGAGAGGUGAGUGGAACUGCGAGUGUAGAGGUGAAAUUCGUAGAUAUUCGCAAGAACACCAGUGGCGAAGGCGGCUCACUGGCCCGGUACUGACGCUGAGGUGCGAAAGCGUGGGGAGCAAACAGG
rnacentral:rRNA from 1 species